GUCGGUGUGUCCGAGUGGUUAAGGAGACAGAUUAGAAAUCUGUUGGGCUCUGCCCGCACAGGUUCAAGUCCUGUCGCCGACG
rnacentral:tRNA from 1 species